rnacentral:rRNA from 1 species
UACGUAGGGUGCAAGCGUUAAUCGGAAUUACUGGGCGUAAAGCGUGCGCAGGCGGUGAUGUAAGACAGAUGUGAAAUCCCCGGGCUCAACCUGGGACCUGCGUCCGAUACUGGCAGGCUUGAAUUCGGGAGAGGGAUGUGGAAUUCCAGGUGUAGCGGUGAAAUGCGUAGAUAUCUGGAGGAACACCGGUGGCGAAGGCGGCAUCCUGGACCGAUAUUGACGCUGAUGCGCGAAAGCCAGGGGAGCAAACGGG